UAAAAAAGAAAAUUUAAAUACAAUAAAUUACCUUAAUCUUCUCCAACUUCCCAUUUAUUUCUUUGAUAUAACUGAUCUAAAAUUAUGAAGGUAUGCGUUAAUCACUCCCUCAAAAGUUGGUUAAUUUUAUUUUCUAGAGGAGAAAAUAAACACCAGAUUGGUUACAGGUGAUUCAUACAUGAAAGAUUCUGGACAUAUUUUUCCCCUAGCUUAUGGAAUUUUGGAUUCGGAGAAUUAUGCGGCAUGGAGUUGAUUUUUUGAGCAAUUGAAAGAAACUCAUGGUAUAAAAUCAAAUAUGUGUGUUGUGUCCGACAAGAACGAGAGCUUUAUAAGAGAUGUGUCAACUGUUUAUGGGGGUGUUGUAUAGUAUGCUUGCAUCUGGCAUUUGUGGAAAAAUGUGAUAACUAAUUUCAGGAAGUCACAUGCUAAAUUGUCUAAAGUGUUUUAUGCAAUGACAAAAGCACAUAUAAUUUUUGAA